rnacentral:rRNA from 1 species
AGGGUGUAAACGCUGCAGACUUGGUGUUGGAAGUCCUUUGGGGGCAUUCAGUGCCGGAGAGAAGUUGUUAAGUCUGCUACUUGGGGAGUACGUCCGCAAGGAUGAAACUUAAAGGAAUUGGCGGGGGAGGCACCGCAACGGGAGGAGCGUGCGGUUUAAUUGGAUUCAACACCGUAAACUCACCAGGGAAGACUGUUACAUGAAGGCCGAGAUGAAGACUCUGCUAGAUUUUCAGAGAGGAGGUGCAUGGCGUCAGUGACU